UACAGAGGUGGCAAGCGUUGUUCGGAAUUACUGGGCGUAAAGGGCGCGUAGGCGGCCUGGUCAGUCGGAUGUGAAAGCCCGGGGCUCAACCCCGGAACGGCAUCCGAGACGGCCAGGCUGGAGACCGGGAGAGGAGAGUGGAAUAGCCAGUGUAGAGGUGAAAUUCGUAGAUAUUGGCUGGAACACCGGUGGCGAAAGCGGCUCUCUGGCCCGGUUCUGACGCUGAGGCGCGAAAGCGUGGGGAGCAAACGGG
rnacentral:rRNA from 1 species